rnacentral:rRNA from 1 species
UUGUGGUUAAAAAGCUCGUAGUUGGAUCUCAACAGCCUUGAAGCGGUUAACUUUGUAGUUUUACUGCUUUAUAGGCUGUGCUUUUGCUGGAGGUUUAGGGGUGCUCUUGAUCGAGUGUCUCUGGAUGCCAGCAGGUUUACUUUGAAAAAAUUAGAGUGCUCAAAGCAGGCUAAAAUGCCUGAAUAUUCGUGCAUGGAAUAAUAGAAUAGGAUGUCGAUCCUAUUUUGUUGGUUUUCGGGACUCGACAUAAUGAUAAAUAGGGACAGUCGGGGGCAUUUGUAUUCAAACGACAGAGGUGAAAUUCUUGGACCGUUUGAAGACAAACUACUGCGAAAGCAUUUGCCAAGAAUGUUUUCAUUAAUCAAGAACGAAAGUUAGAGGUUCGAAGGCGAUUAGAUACCGCCCUAGUUCUAACCAUAAACGAUGCCAGCUAGCGAUCUGCCUGCGUUUUUACUGUAGACUGGGCAGGAAGCUUCCGGGAAACCAAAGCAUUUGGGUUCCAGGGGAAGUAUGGUUGCAAAGCUGAAACUUAAAGGAAUUGACGGAAGGGCACCACCAGGAGUGGAGCCUGUGGCUUAAUUUGACUCAACACGGGAAAUCUCACC